GAUGAACGCUGGCGGCGUGCCUAAUACAUGCAAGUCGAGCGAACAGACGAGGAGCUUGCUCCUCUGACGUUAGCGGCGGACGGGUGAGUAACACGUGGAUAACCUACCUAUAAGACUGGGAUAACUUCGGGAAACCGGAGCUAAUACCGGAUAAUAUAUUGAACCGCAUGGUUCAAUAGUGAAAGACGGUUUUGCUGUCACUUAUAGAUGGAUCCGGGCGGCAUUAGCUAGUUGGUAAGGUAACGGCUUACCAAGGGAACGAUGCGUAGCCGACCUGAGGGGGUGAUCGGCCACACUGGAACUGAGACACGGUCCAGACUCCUGCGGGAGGCAGCAGUAGGGAAUCUUCCGCAAUGGGCGAAAGCCUGACGGAGCAACGCCGCGUGAGUGAUGAAGGUCUUCGGAUCGUAAAACUCUGUUAUUAGGGAAGAACAAAUGUGUAAGUAACUAUGCACGUCUUGACGGUACCUAAUCAGAAAGCCACGGCUAACUACGUG
rnacentral:rRNA from 1 species